CUGAGCUGCCCCUCCCUGUGCCUGAGUAGAAAGGGCCCCCUGUCUGUCUCAGCUGUAAUACCAGUCCAGGGGAGGGUACUAGGUAGAAAGGGCCCCCUGUCUGUCUCAGCUGUAAUACCAGUCCAGGGGAGGGUACUAGGUAGAAAGGGCCCCCUGUCUGUCUCAGCUGUAAUACCAGUCCAGGGGAGGGUACUAGGUAGAAAGGCCCCCUGUCUGUCUCAGCUGUAAUACCAGUCCAGGGAGGGGUACUAGGUAGUUACAGACAGACAGGUUGUGUAGUCUAGGACAGGUCAGUUACACUAGGAGACAGAUGGUUACAGACAGACAGGUUGUGUAGUCUAGGACAGGUCAGUUACACUAGGAGACAGAUGGUUACAGACAGACAGGUUGUGUAGUCUCGGACAGGUCAGUUACAGACAGGUUGUGUAGUCUAGGACAGGUCAGUUCCACUAGGAGACAGGUGGUGACAGACAGACAGGUUGUGUAGUCUAGGACAGGUCAGUUCAACUAGGAGAUAGAUGGUGACAGACAGGUUGUGUAGUCUAGGACAGGUCAGUUCCACUAGGAGAUAGGUGGUGACAGACAGACAGGUUGUGUAAAUGGUGGAGGUUAGGGUCCCGUUAACCACAGUCCUGGAGUCAGAUGUUAACUCCUGUCUCUAUAAAUAGUGGAGGUUAGGGUCCCGUUAACCACAGUCCUGGAGUCAGAUGUUAACUC